rnacentral:lncRNA from 10 species
CUUCCCUCCACUCCAUCUUAGCCCCCAGGGAUGGACAUCCAGGGGAAGCAGCCCCACUUCCUGUGUCUACUCCUCAUGGACAUUGUGGGAGCUCCAUUUUCUUCAACAGAAGAUAUGAAUCAAGCAAUCUGAGGGCCUAGAUGGGGAGAAAAGGGCCCUGAAACAGGGAGAGAUGAAUGUAGCCACCAGCUCUCUGUUUUUUUCUUUAGAGGGGCAGGGAGUCAUUCAACCUAAGAAUUUUUCCUUGCUGUCUUGCAUAUCCCAACAGGCCUCCCUUCAUUCUUACAGUGUGACUGACCUAAAUUGAAAAUAUGAAGAGGACCCAUGGGCUAAAAGGCUAAUUUUUCAUUGUCGGUAUAUACUAAAUUUGUUUAUCCAUCAUCUGUCCAUUGACAGUUGGUUGCCUCCACCCUUUGACUAUUGUGAACAGUGCUGCUAUGAACAUGAGUGUGCAAAUAUACUUUCAAGAUCCUGGUUUCAAUUCUUUUGAGAUUACCCAGAAGUAGAAUCAGUGGAACAUACGGAAGAAGAUUAUGGGCAAGUACUGCAAGAACUGGCAACAGUCUCAUAUUAUGUGGACAACUCUACAAUGCAUGUUUGUUUGGGCUCUCCCUUUUCGCUGCUCCAAACUCCCUGUCCCUGACUUUUGCUUACUGGGUCCAGUCCCCAGUAGAGUAGCUGCUCUUAGGCUUUUGUCUUAGGAGAACUCAGGGGAACACGUGGCCUAUGCUCUGGCAAUAAAAUCUUCUUGCAUUGUCAGAAGUCACCUCACUAUUUGAUGUCUCCGUAUACUCCCUCUGCUUUAAUCUCACUUACUUCCCCCAAACCUCAAUCUGGCCCCUGUUUAAAUGUCACCUGUUCAUGAAGCUUUCCUUCAUCUCCACAACAAAGCUGGUUUCUCCCUUCUCUGUGGCUGCUGUACCUUGUUUAUUCCUCCAUGGGCGCACUGAGGGCUCU